AUGGCGGCGCCGGCGAGCCGCCGCCGCGGGUCCUCCUGGGGCCGCUCGUGGCCGCUGCUCUUCGUCGCCAUCCUCGCCCUCCACUCGCUGGCCAUCUACCUCUUCACGCGCGGCUUCCUCCUCACCCGCACCGAGCUCGACCUCCACAGCCACCGGGACGACCGCACCGGCGUCUCCCCCGGGUGCUCUUCGUGGCCCCAGCCAGCCGUAGACCGCCUCGUCAUCGUCGUCCUCGACGCCCUCAGGUUCGAUUUCGUGGCACCGAGUACAUUCUUUGAAGAGAAGCAGCCAUGGAUGGACAAGUUGCAGGUCCUGCAGAAGCUGGCUGCUGAUGAGAAGAACUCUGCUAGGAUCUUCAAAGCUCUGGCUGACCCACCGACCACCAGCCUUCAACGUCUUAAGGCUCUCACGACGGGUGGUCUCCCUACCUUUAUUGAUGUCGGCAAUAGCUUUGGAGCUCCAGCAAUAGUGGAAGACAAUAUAAUGCAUCAGCUUGUCAAAAAUGGAAAGAGGGUGGUCAUGAUGGGAGAUGAUACAUGGACACAGUUAUACCCAGAGCACUUCAACAAGUCAUUUCCAUACCCUUCUUUUAAUGUUAAAGAUCUCGACACGGUAGACAAUGGUGUUAUUGAACACUUGCUUCCUUCACUGCAUGAAAAUGAUUGGGACGUUCUUAUUGCACAUUUCCUUGGUGUGGACCAUGCAGGGCAUAUAUUUGGUGUUGACUCUGCCCCGAUGAUCCAGAAGUUGGAGCAAUACAAUCAAAUCCUAGAGGAUGUGAUUAACACAUUGAAAAGCCUAUCAACACCUGGUGGUCCCCAUGAAAAUACUUUACUCCUUGUAAUGGGAGAUCAUGGCCAAACCCUAAAUGGUGACCAUGGAGGAGGAACUGCUGAAGAGGUUGAAACAUCUCUGUUUGCAUGGAGUCCAAAGACACCACCCGAUGCUGUCUUAUCUGUUCUUGGUGAAAAUUCAUGCAAUUUUGAUCUGCAUGGGAAAGAAGUGUGCGUCAGCACUAUGCAGCAGCUUGAUUUUGCAGUAACUGUAUCAGCACUACUCGGUAUACCUUUUCCUUUUGGAAGCAUUGGACGUGUAAACCCAGAAUUGUAUGCUUUGAGCGCUGGGACAUGGGAUAAUCAAAGGACGGGUAUCAAUGCAUGCACGCCACAGGAUGACCAAGAAGCGUGGAAAAUGAGAUAUGCAGAAGCCCUUUGUGUAAAUAGUUGGCAGGUAAAGAGAUACAUUGAUCAAUAUUCUGGUAGUUCUAUCAUUGGAUUUUCAGCUGAAUACCUGCACCAUGUUGAGGAGCUGUAUUCAAAAGCUCAGGCGAACUGGUCAGAGGUUUUGAAGUCUACAUGCCCAUCGGAAACAGCUAAGGGAGAAGAAUUUAAGGAGAGCGCAAGUUCUUCUCUGCAGUUGCAAAUUGAUGCAUACUCUAGCUUCUUGGAAAGAUUUGCAAAGCUUGCUCGCUCUGCUUGGACGGAGUUUGAUUUAUGGUUGAUGGGCACUGGUCUUUUACUUAUGAUACUGUCAGUUAUCACUCAGGCAUACAUACUUGUGAGGCUGAAUGCUUUAUGUCAACCAUCAGCUCAGGAAUGUGCUAGUUCAAGGAUCAUCCCCAAAUUAUCCUUUGCUUUUACAUUGGUCACGAUUCGAGCAGCGAGUUUACUAUCCAACAGUUAUAUAUUGGCAGAAGGUAGAGUUACAAACUUUCUUUUGGCCACGAGUUGCAUUGCCGGUGUGUGGAGCUCGGCCACAAAAGGGAACUUCACCAUAGAAGAGUUUAUUUUCCUUCUUCUAAAUAUUUUUGCACGAUUUGGAAUUGAGCUUGGGAUGUCAAAACAAAUUGCUGGGCCAACUGCUACAAAAGACCACCCAGUGAGCAUCAUUUGUGACAUUUUCGGUUCCAGUUUUUGCAAUGUCUCCAUGGAUAUAUUCCCCAUCAUAUCUCUUGCCAUGCUGACCUGUAUUGUAUUAAAGCUCAUCACCUGUGCGGUCCAUCAGAGGUUCUUGAAGUACUUUAUUAUGUCUGGAACCAUCUUGAGCUAUGCAUUUAUAGCAAAUUAUUGGGCUUCUGAAAGUACUUUACUGUCUCAUACUAAAGCUGUUCAAGAAAUUGGAAGAAGUUUGGCUCCUCGCUUUGUUUAUGCCAUUGGAGGUUUGUCAUUGGUAAUAUCUGUACUUUGGCGAUUGUUUGCCCCAGUUGGUUCUUUGAAGUUCAACAAAAGGAUAACUAGUUUAUCAGCUGCCAUGCUGUGUUCAUGGAGCCCAACUAUCUUGAUGUUGUUGGGAAGGCAGGGUGCUUUUGUAGCGUUAAUUUGCAUCACUGGAGCUUGGUGCAUAAUAAUGUUACAGCAGAAAUACCAGAAAGACUCGAAACUUGACACAACAGGGAGUUGUGUUGCUAACCCUGUAUCAGUAACACAAUGGAGCCUUCUUGCAGUUUGUCUAUUCUAUCUGACUGGUCACUGGUGUACCUUUGAUGGCCUCCGCUAUGGUGCUGCAUUUAUUGGGUUUGACAAUUUCCAUAUCAUUCGUCAAGGGUUUCUUCUUUCCAUUGAUACCUUUGGUGUUUCUCACAUCCUACCAGUUCUUAGUCUUCCAUUUAUUGCCGUCCACUGUUAUAAUACUGCAUCGAAGAAAAGCAAGGUGAAGGAUGUCACCAUCAAUAUUCUAAUACAGGUCCAUUUGAUGUAUGGUUUAAUUACAGCUAUCACUACGACAGUUACAAUCGUAUGUGUCACGAUCCAAAGGCGUCACUUGAUGGUGUGGGGUUUGUUUGCACCGAAAUAUGUAUUUGACGCGAUUGGGCUUCUCCUAACAGACUUGCUAAUUUGUCUUGCUUCUUUGUACUACAGCUGA
rnacentral:rRNA from 1 species